UAACCCCGCCGCUCUCCGCUGUCACUUCCUCUCGACUCUUGUGCUCUGAGGCUCUGAAGUGCUUUACACUGAUGGCUCAAUGGCUGAUGGUCAUGUAGGCUUCACAUAUGUUCAUGGAGGACAUAUUGAGCAUCACUCCUUGCCAUUUGGCUUCAGUGUUUUCACUGCAGGGCUGGCGGCCAUAUCUCAUGCUCUUGAGUACAUCUGCUCAUGCCCUGGCAAGUCAUUUCUCCUGUGUACUGACUCAUUGAGCAGCCUACAAGUUAUCGACCAGUGCUACCCUCGCCACCCUCUGGUAGUGUCCAUUCAGGAGUCCACCAAUGCUCUGGAAAAGUCUCGCCGUUCCGUGGUGUUUGUGUGGACCCCAGGUCACAUCGGAAUCCCUGGCAACGAACUUGCUGACAGGCUGGUCAAACAGGCGACACGGAAACCGCUUCUGGAGAUAGGCAUCUCCAAAGCUGACCUGCGUUCUGUCUUACACCGCAGGGUUUUCCGGCUUUGGGAGAUGGAAUGGCAUAACAGCACACACAACAAACUGUGUGUCAUUAAGGAGACUGUGAAUGUGUGGAAGUCUUCCAUGCAGACCUCUCGCAGGGAGUCAGUUGUCCUCUGCCGGCUCUGAAUUGGCCAUACACGGCUAACGCAUGGUUACCUACUCCAUCACGAGGGUCCACCUCAGUGUCACUGUGGCUCCCAAAUGACAGUCGUCCACUUCUUGCUGGACUGCCCACUUUUAGCCGCUCUGCAGCAGACUUUUAACUUUCCGAGCACCCUGCCUUCGGUGUUGGGCGACAAUGCCUCCACAGCAGCUUUAGUUUUACGUUUUAUCCAUGAGAGUGGGUUUUAUAUUUCUAUGUAGGUUUUAGCACACAUCUUUUUGUCCUUCUGUGUCCUCAACCCUAGUGCUUUUAGGGUGGAGGUUUUAAUGUGUUGCAGAGUGGCUGGCUUUCCCUUUUUAUUCUCGUGGUUCACCAACCACUGUAAUCUGCUUUUGUUUUAUUAGGAACAAUGGACAGAUGACCUCAUAGUUUGGUACCAUCUUAUGCAGCACAGGUGUCGAGGAGCUGUUCCCCUGGAAGAUGACGGAUUCAGCCCCUCCCAUUGGCAUGAUGAAGAAGGUGAAUGUGAUUAUUCCAUCACACCAUCAGAGUAUUUAAAUGAGCAGGCAUAUUUAUUUCGACAAAAUGAGGUCAUAUGUCCACGGUGUGGAAAGGAAUACAGAUUAAGAAAUUCUUUUCUGAAGCACAUCCAUUAUGUGUGUGGAAAAGAGCCACAAUUACAAUGCCCAAAUUGUCCAAAAAGAUUCAAGACCAGGAGCAAUCUAAACCAGCACAUCAAAGCUGUGCAUCCAAAUGUGGAGAUCCGAAUCACUGAACAGGAAACUGUACAUCAAUAUAGAGAAUAAUUGGAAAAAAAUAAAUCACUUUAUGAACAGA